rnacentral:rRNA from 1 species
AAAGACUGACGCUCAUGCACGAAAGCGUGGGGAUCAAACAGGAUUAGAUACCCUGGUAGUCCACGCUGUAAACGAUGAUCACUCGUUGUUGGCGAUAUACUGUCAGCGACUGAGCGAAAGCAUUAAGUGAUCCACCUGGGGAGUACGGCGGCAACGUUGAAACUCAAAGGAAUUGACGGGGGCCCGCACAAGCGGAGGAGCAUGUGGUUUAAUUCGAUGAUACGCGAGGAACCUUACCUGGGCUUAAAUGCAGAACGACGUUUCGUGAAAGCGGAAUUUCCUUCGGGACGUUUUGCAAGGUGCUGCAUGGUUGUCGUCAGCUCGUGCCGUGAGGUGUCGGGUUAAGUCCCAUAACGAGCGCAACCCUUAUCAUUAGUUGCCAUCAGGUAAUGCUGGGAACUCUAAUGAAACUGCCUACGCAAGUAGUGAGGAAGGUGGGGAUGACGUCAAAUCAGCACGGCCCUUAUGUCCAGGGCGACACACGUGCUACAAUGGCCAGUACAGAGGGUUGCGAA